CCUUGAAUGAUUCCACGGGAACGAAUGAGUUUGGCAUCACCAGGUGUACGUAUUAGCUCUCUCAUAAGCAACAAAUAGGAGCUAACCUCCUAUUUUCUUUUGUCAAGUUUUUGACUUAUCCCACAGUAUCAAAGAUAUUUAUCCUCACGGAAGAUUAUUUCAUAUGAUGUGACUUUAAUUGAAAGGGCAUCAGCAAAAAUUCUUUAUUUUUUAAUAGCGUGCACACACACAUUGUGUGUGUGUGUGUAUGUAUGUAUGUAUCUAUAUAUAUAUAUAUAGAGAGAGAGAGAGUAUCUAUAAAUUUAGAGUAAAAAGAUAUUAAAUACUCCAAUAACCUAUUUAUCAUGAAUGAUGCUAUAUGUAUAACAAUCAUGACAAUUUGGUUGACAUUCCCUUUUAUGUGAAGUAAAUAUGUAUAGUGAUGCGAUAGAUGAGUUCAAAAUCAAGAGUGCAUAUGUUGCCAUGUGAAAGAAUACAAAAAUGGUGUAAGAGAGAAUGUAAAUGUAGCAAUGUUGAUUUGUCUUUAAUAUUUAAUUUUACUUCUUCCAAUAUGUAUUUAUUAUUUUCUCUUAUCAUUUAUUUUUACCAACUUCCCUCAAAAAUUAUUACUUCCUCUAUCUCGUAAAGAUAGAUUUUUUUUUUUUACACAAAUUAAGAAAAUAUAAUUAAUAUAGUUAGAAACAUAAAUUUUACCUACAUUUUUUUAAUAUACUCCUACAUUAAUAAUCAUUUAAUUAUGAGUAAUUCAUAUUUAUUUAUAACAAUGUACAUUUAAUAGGAAGAUAUUAAAAAAUUAAGAAAUCAACUAUACUCUCAACAAGGGGAGUGUCUUAGAGCAUUUUAGACUCUUAAAAUAUAAGAUCAUAUCCAUUUUAAAGAGUCAAUCCUUAAAAUUAUGUUACAAGAAACUCUUCAAAUUUGCAUUUUAAAAUAGAUAGUGGAUUGGAGAGCCAAACAUUCUUUAUUAAUAAAUGUCCUCAAACUAAUUCAAUUUUCAAUGUAGUAGAAUAAUAUAAUAAUUUUGAGAGAAGCCAGCGAAAAUAAAAGAGGAAAAAUAAUAAAUAUAUUUUGUGAGUAUUAAAAAUUUAGUGUUUUAAAAAAUGUCUGUUGGAUUACUUAAUUUUUUUUUUUCAAUUUUUAAAUGCUCUCUAAAUUGUUAAAUAUGAUAUUUAAAAAUAGAAUCACUUGAAAAUGUUCUAUUAAUUUCGAACAAAUAAAAAAGAAAAGCAAGUUUAUUUUUAUUGGAUGGAGAGAAUAUAUUCUUCAUUUUCUUUGUAUAUAUGUUUAAUUGGAUCAAUAUAUGGAGCAUAGAAAGUUGAAAUAUUUUGAGUGUAUUUAAUUAUAGAGUUGAUGUAGAACAUAUUGUUGAAUGGUUGAAGAAGAGUUGGGUAAAAAUGGGGAAAAAGUAAUGGCGGAGAGAAAACAUUCGAAUUUAGGAUCGAGCCCAUAAGACCAUUUCGAAAAGAGGACAACGAACGAGCAAUAUUCAUCGUUACGCCAUGAUGUCCGAUGGAUUUCGACCAUUCGAGUUUGUUUAGGACUCGAAAACUAAUUUUUAAAGUUUAGCACUAUUUGUUUCAUUUAAUUUAUUUUGAAUUCUUUUUAAUUUUAGUUUGUUUAAACUUUGUUUUCAUUAGUUUUAGUUAUUUUAAACCAUUAUUCCAUAUAAACCCUUAUAAAUGAGGGGUAAUUUCGUUGUUUUGAUUAUCUUUUCUAGAAUAAAUUUUUUUUCGAGUUUAUUCUUUUCAUAAUUUGUUGAAUUCUAAAUUUCGUGUUCUUAAUGUUUUCGUUUGAAUUCCUCGUCGUGCAAUACGUCAAGAGUGCUUUUGACUUUCCAAAUUUGGAGAGCUAAACAUACUUUAUUUUAAAGACGUUAUUUUGAAGAGUAUCUUGGAGCAUAUCUUCAAGGAUUGAAUCUUUAAAAUAGAAAUCAUUUCACUUUGAAGAAUCUUUUUGAGAUGAUCUAAGGUCGAGAAAAUAAAUUUCAUAUUCAUACCCAUUAAAUAAUACCACAUCACAGGUGAUCAUCCCAAGUGAGAAUAAGUAGCAUUAUUAUUUACAUUAUUUCUUACAAUUUUUUAAAUGAUUUUGGGAACCCAAUCAACACAAUCAAUCUUACAAAGUGCGUUGAAAUAUAUAAUUGUUAAAAUUACAUUAGAGUCUAGCAAGAAACGGCUUAAGAUCUCCACAAACAUUUGACAGUUUGAAUUAAUAAAUCUCCAGAACUUCAUUCCACAGUCGAGAAAUUAAAUUCAAAUGUAAACAAACAGAAAAUUGAUUGCAAAUAUAAUAUUGAUCAAAUUACAAACGAUAGUCAAUCAUAGACUAGCCUCUGUAAAAUUGGAGAAUGGAGUAAACAGUUUGCAGUAUUGUUAAAAUGAAGACAAAACUAACAAUUUGCCAGUAUUUUGUCCAAAGUGGGGGAGAAUAAUCAUUAGUCUGAAGUUUUACGCGGCGAAGGUUUUUAUUAUAGCUUCCAUCGAGAUCUAGUCCUCUUAAGAUUCUUGGCAGCUCGAGAUUGUGUUUAAAAGUUCCUUGAAUGAUUCCAUGGGAACGAAUGAGUUUGGCAUCACCAGGCGUACGUAUCAGCUCGCUCAUAAACAACAAAUAGGUGCUAACCUCCUGUUUGCUUUGGUCAAGUUUUUGACUGAUUUCGUAGCGUCUGAGAUUUUGAAACAUUAACUCUGUAUCGUCUCCAACAUAGAAAUGAGGCAAGUAAAGAAUCGGAUAUGCCUUGCAACGCCAUAUACUAUUUGUGAAACGGAUUCCUCUGCUUCCAUUCGAACGAUUUAGACGCCUGAAAUGUAUACCAACUUUUCUUAAUUCUGUUGCCGACCAAGAUAUUUUAUUAUCAAUAUCGUGCUGAGCUUCCAAGUCCUUCUCUUCUUCCUCCUCCUCCUCCUCUCCUUCAUAUUUUGGCCCGAGAAUCAGCAACUGCAGGCCAUGAAGCAAAUCAGAAGGCUGCUGCUGUUGAAGCCAAUUAAAUCUUGAUGCAAAUACCUUCCUAGAGUCGUGAACUUCUUGUGCAGGCAACAAUAACAAUUCAUACAAAGCUGUCCUGCACAGAUCUGAUGGUUGCUCCCAUUUCCACUUUUUUAUGACAUUCUUGAAGUAGCUUUGCUUCAUUAAUUCCUUGAGCACUGUGAAUGGAAUUUGAUUUCCAACGAAGAACAUAGCCUCAAUCAAUUCUUUAAUAUCCUUGUAAUUUUUUUUUUGACCGGAUAUGAU
rnacentral:lncRNA from 1 species